GGUGGCAAUUAUACUGAGGUUGUCCCACCUGUUCCCAUUCCGAACACAGAAGUGAAAUACCUCAAGGCCGAUGAUAGUCGCAAGGCGAAAGUAGGUAGUUGCCACCA
rnacentral:rRNA from 5 species